AACGAAGCUUCUUCUUGCUUCUCAAAGCAUUGAUGGUUUAGCCGAAGUCCAUAUGACUCUUUAUCUUUAUAUCUUCUAACAAGGAAACACAACUUAGGCCUUUACGAUAAGGUUGCGGUUUAAGUUCUUAUACUCAAUCAUACACAUGACAUCAAGUCAUAUUCGACUCCAAAACUAUAAUCAAGCUUCUUCUUGCUUCUCAAAGCUUUGAUGGUUUAGCCGAAGUCCAUAUGAGUCUUUGUCUUUCUAUCUUCUAACAAGGAAACACUACUUAGGCUUUUAGGAUAAGCAAGCGGUUUAAGUUCUUAUACUCAAUCAUACACAUGACAUCAAGUCAUAUUCGACUCCAAAACACUAACCAAGAUUCUUCUUGCUUCUAAAAGCUUUGAUGGUUUAGCCGAAGUCCAUAUGAGUCUUUGUCUUUGUAUCUUCUAACAAGGAAACACUACUUAGGCUUUUAGGAUAAGAUUGAAGUUUAAGUUCUUAUACUAAUCAUACACAUGACACCAAGUUAUAUUCGACUCAAAAACACUAACCAAGCUUCUUCUUGCUUCUCAAAGCUUUGAUGGUUUAGCCAAAGUCCAUAUGAGUCUUUGUCUUUGUAUCUUCUAACAAGGAAACACUACUUAGGCCUUUAGGAUAAGGUUGCGGUUUAAGUUUUUAUACUCAAUCAUACACAUAACAUCAAGUCAUAUUCGAGUCAAAAACACUAACCAAGCUUCUUCUUUCUUCUCAAAGCUUUGAUGGUUUAGCCGAAGUCCAUAUGAGUCUUUGUAUUU
rnacentral:sRNA from 1 species